AUGGCCAUGGCCACCUUCGCUGCCACUCCCGCGCUCCUCUCUCCCUCACCCCCCUACACCCCGGCCCCUCCACUCCGCGGGCGCCCGCCCCGCCCGCCUCUCCGUCUCGGCCUCCGGCUCCCGCGCCGCCGCCCCGUCACCACCACCACUCCGGCCGCGGCCCACGCUGCGAGCUCCCUCUCCUCCGCCCGCGGCGACCCGCGCGAGGCGGAGGCAGCGGUGGCUGAGCUGCUGCGGGACCACGGCGCGUCGCCGGAGGACGCGGCCGCCAUCGCGGCCCGCGCGCCGGGGUACGCCGCCAUGCUGGCCGACGGCGUCAGGGAGCUCGACGAGCUCGGGCUCUGGGCGUCCUGGAGCGCCGGGGCGGGCGCGCGCGCCGGCGCCGAGAUGGGCGCGCUCGGGUUCGGCAGGAAGGUGUACUUCAUGGGGCGGAGCCGGCGCGACGGCGCCGUCGUUCCCCUCGUCGAGAGCCUCGGCGUGCGCCUCUCCUCCGCGAAGCUCAUCGCGCCCUACGUCGCCGCCGAGGGCCUCCCCGUGCUCAUCCGCAGGGUUAAGUUCUUGAAGGAAAUGCUGUUUUCAAGCAGUGGCUAUGAAACUCUAAUCGGACGGAAUGCUAAGCGCAUGAUGGCACACUUGUCAAUACCCGCAGAUGAGGCACUCCAGAGUACGCUGUCAUUUUUCGAAAAAAUGGAGGCCAGACAUGGUGGUCUGAGCAUGUUGGCACAUGGGGAUGUGUCAUUUCCCUAUCUCAUCGAAUCAUUUCCAGUGCUUCUUCUCUGCUCAGAGGACAAACAUCUUAAGGCAUUAAUUGAUUUCCUUGAACACAUUGGAGUUCCCAAGCCGAGGAUUCCAUCAGUUCUGCUGGCAUUUCCUCCUAUUAUCCUUUCUGAUGUCGAAAAGGAUAUCAAGCCAAGGAUUCAUGCAUGGGAGAAGGCUGGCAUAGAACAGGAAUAUAUUGGUCGGAUGUUGUUGAAGUAUCCAUGGAUUCUUUCUGCAAGUGUGAUAGAAAACUACAAGCAGGCCCUUUUGUUCUUCAACAGAAGAAAGAUUUCCAGUACAUUUCUUGGCAUUGCUGUCAAAAGUUGGCCUCACAUUCUGGGUUGUUCAACAACAAGAAUGAACUCAAUUCUAGUGCUGUUUGAUGAUCUGGGCAUCAGUAAGAAAAUGUUGGUUCCUGUUCUUACAUCAAGUCCACAGUUGCUGCUGAGAAAACCUAAUGAGUUUUUGCAGGUUGUUUCCUUUUUUAAAGAUAUGGGUUUUGAUAAGAUAACAGUGGCAAAGAUUGUCUGUCGUUCUCCAGAAAUUUUUGCUUCAGAUGUGGAGAAUACCCUCAAAAAGAAAAUCAACUUUCUUAUUGACUUUGGUAUUUCUGAGCGUCACCUUCCUCGUAUCAUUAAGAAGUACCCAGAGCUUUUGUUGUUGGACAUAAAUCGCACACUGCUACCAAGAAUGAAUUACUUCCUGGGGAUGGGCUUGUCUAAGAAAGAUGUCUGCUCAAUGAUCUCUAGAUUCUCCCCACUUCUGGGGUACAGUAUUGAGCAUGUUCUGAAACCAAAGAUUGAUUUUCUAUUGCAAACCAUGAAGAAACCACUUAAAGCGGUUGUGGAAUAUCCAAGCUUUAUGAUUCCAUCUGGAUCCGGGAGGCUGUUUUACAGAUGGGAAGCCACUUCUCGAGUCUUCAACAUUCAUAAGACCUUGUCCAUUGGGAUAUCCCCUUGA
rnacentral:rRNA from 1 species